rnacentral:lncRNA from 1 species
GGUCGUAUAAAGCUGCGCCCUGCCGAGCAUCUGGUUUAUCAAUAAAAACCAAAUGCACAGGAGUUAUUGUUUACACUUAUCAACCUGAAUACAUAUAUAUGUCUUAUAGGGCUUUAUUGUUUUUUUUAUAAAUAUUUAGAUCAAACCGUACAAUUUAGAGUUAAGAGAAAAGUAAAGAAAAGAUGUUUUAAUAGAGUAUUGACGACCUCAUUCAUUAUUUUGUUAAUUCAAACCAUAUGUGUUGUUUUACAACUGAUCAUAAUUAUUACGAUAACAAGAAGGGUGAAUAGUCGUUAAAUUGUGAAUCAUUUUGUUUUGAAUAUGGAAUUUCUGCAAUUUCUUCAUGUUUUGAUAUAGGAAUCUCCAAUCCAUAACGACAUCUUUAAAAAAAAUCAACUAGAAGAGAGUAUAUAUUUGUUCAUAUCACUUUCUUUAUGUGUUAUUUUUUAGACGGACGAAAAAUAUUCAAUUUUGAAAAUUAUGCAUGUUAGGUAAACCAACAACUUUGUCAAAUGUGUUCCAGAUUUUAGUGCUAAAACAAAUAAAAACAAAAACUGGUCUCGUAUGUAUCCAUUCCAAAGUUACCUUUUUAGUAAUAUGCCUAUAUAAUCAAAUUGUUUUACUAAUGCAUUUAAAUCAUUCAAACGUUAUUGAUAAGAGCACAAAUCAAAGAAAAUGCCAAAAAGUAAUUGAAUUUAUUUUAAUACCGAAC